rfam:TPA: Bos taurus chromosome 1, whole genome shotgun sequence.
UCCCUGAUAGGUUGGCUGGUAAAGAAUCUGCCUGCAAAGCAGGAGACCCAGGUUCAAUUCCUGGGAUGGGAA